rnacentral:rRNA from 1 species
GUGCACGCUGGCGGUAGGCCUAACACAUGCCAGUCGCACGGCAGCACAGUAAGAGCUUGCUCUUACGGGUGGCGAGUGGCGGACGGGUGAGGAAUACAUCGGAAUCUACUUUUUCGUGGGGGAUAACGUAGGGAAACUUACGCUAAUACCGCAUACGACCUACGGGUGAAAGCAGGGGAUCUUCGGACCUUGCGCGAUUGAAUGAGCCGAUGUCGGAUUAGCUAGUUGGCGGGGUAAAGGCCCACCAAGGCGACGAUCCGUAGCUGGUCUGAGAGGGUGAUCAGCCACACUGGAACUGAGACACGGUCCAGACUCCUACGGGAGGCAGCAGUGGGGAAUAUUGGACAAAGGGCGCAAGCCUGAUCCAGCCAUACCGCGUGGGUGAAGAAGGCCUUCGGGUUGUAAAGCCCUUUUGUUGGGAAAGAAAAGCAGCAGGUUAAUACCCCGCUGUUCUGACGGUACCCAAAGAAUAAGCACCGGCUAACUUCGUG